UACGGGGGGGGCAAGCGUUGUUCGGAAUUACUGGGCGUAAAGGGCUCGUAGGCGGCCAACUAAGCCAGACGUGAAAUCCCCAGGCUCAACCUGGGAACUGCGUCUGAUACUGGAUGGCUUGAAUCCGGGAGAGGGAUGCAGAAUUCCAGGUGUAGCGGUGAAAUGCGCAGAUAUCAGGAGGAACACCAAUGGCGAAGGCAGCUCGCUGGGACGUGACUGACGCUGAGACGCGAAAGCGUGGGGAGCAAACAGG
rnacentral:rRNA from 1 species